rnacentral:rRNA from 1 species
AGUGAACGCUGGCGGUAGGCCUAACACAUGCAAGUCGAACGGCAGCACAGUAAGAGCUUGCUCUUACGGGUGGCGAGUGGCGGACGGGUGAGGAAUACAUCGGACUCUACUUUUUCGUGGGGGAUAACGUAGGGAAACUUACGCUAAUACCGCAUACGACCUACGGGUGAAAGCAGGGGAUCUUCGGACCUUGCGCGAUUGAAUGAGCCGAUGUCGGAUUAGCUAGUUGGCGGGGUAAAGGCCCACCAAGGCGACGAUCCGUAGCUGGUCUGAGAGGAUGAUCAGCCACACUGGAAGUGAGACACGGUCCAGACUACUAAGGGAGGGAGCAGUGGGGAAUAGUAGACAAUGGGCGCAAGCCUGAUCCAGCCAUACCGCGUGGGUGAAGAAGGCCUUCGGGUUGUAAAGCCCUUUUGUUGGGAAAGAAAAGCAGCAGGUUAAUACCCCGCGGUUCUGACGGUACCCAAAGAAUAAGCACCGGCUAACUUCGUG